UGCGGAGGGAUCAUUACACAAUAUGAAAGCGGGCUGGAUCCCCCUAGCAGUGCGUUGCUUUGCGGCGUGCGCUGUUGGGGCCAGCCUUGCUGAAUUAUUCACCCGUGUCUUUUGCGUACUUCUUGUUUCCUUGGUGGGUUCGCCCACCACAAGGACAAAUCAUUAAACCUUUUGUAAUUGCAAUCAGCGUCAGUAACAACAUAAUAAUUACAACUUUCAACAACGGAUCUCUUGGUUCUGGCAUCGAUGAAGAACGCAGCGAAAUGCGAUAAGUAGUGUGAAUUGCAGAAUUCAGUGAAUCAUCGAAUCUUUGAACGCACAUUGCGCCCUUUGGUAUUCCAAAGGGCAUGCCUGUUCGAGCGUCAUUUGUACCCUCAAGCUUUGCUUGGUGUUGGGCGUCUUGUCUCCAGUUCGCUGGGGACUCGCCUUAAAGUUAUUGGCAGCCGGCCUACUGGUUUCGGAGCGCAGCACAAGUCGCGCUCUCUUCCAGCCAAGGUCAGCAUCCACAAAGCCUUUUUUCAACUUUUGACCUCGGAUCAGGUAGGGAUACCCGCUGAACUUAAGCAUAU
rnacentral:sRNA from 1 species